rnacentral:snoRNA from 1 species
ACGACCUUACUUGAACAGGAUCUGUUCUAUAGGCUCGUACCGUUGCAUCCUUGACUAAUAAGGAGGCAAGCACUAAAGCUUGGUUGAUGAAGCAUGACCUGUGGGCCAGAGCGUGAUUAACGGCUCGGAUCUCAACGUUGUUGACUCGAUCCCACGGCUGUAGAGGAUCGUUCCUUGCCAAGCUCCGCCAGGCCAGGGUGGCCCAUAGGUUGUCUGACAGGCU